GACGAACGCUGGCGGCGUGCCUAAUACAUGCAAGUAGAACGCUGAAGGAGGAGCUUACUUCUCUGGAUGAGUUGCGAACGGGUGAGUAACGCGUAGGUAACCUGCCUGGUAGCGGGGGAUAACUAUUGGAAACGAUAGCUAAUACCGCAUAAGAGUAGAUGUUGCAUGACAUUUACUUAAAAGGUGCAAUUGCAUCACUACCAGAUGGACCUGCGUUGUAUUAGCUAGUUGGUGGGGUAACGGCUCACCAAGGCGACGAUACAUAGCCGACCUGAGAGGGUGAUCGGCCACACUGGGACUGAGACACGGCCCAGACUCCUACGGGAGGCAGCAGUAGGGAAUCUUCGGCAAUGGACGGAAGUCUGACCGAGCAACGCCGCGUGAGUGAAGAAGGUUUUCGGAUCGUAAAGCUCUGUUGUAAGAGAAGAACGAGUGUGAGAGUGGAAAGUUCACGCUGUGACGGUAUCUUACCAGAAAGGGACGGCUAACUACGUGCCAGCAGCCGCGGUAAUACGUAGGUCCCGAGCGUUGUCCGGAUUUAUUGGGCGUAAAGCGAGCGCAGGCGGUUAGAUAAGUCUGAAGUUAAAGGCUGUGGCUUAACCAUAGUACGCUUUGGAAACUGUUUAACUUGAGUGCAAGAGGGGAGAGUGGAAUUCCAUGUGUAGCGGUGAAAUGCGUAGAUAUAUGGAGGAACACCGGUGGCGAAAGCGGCUCUCUGGCUUGUAACUGACGCUGAGGCUCGAAAGCGUGGGGAGCAAACAGG
rnacentral:rRNA from 1 species